rnacentral:rRNA from 1 species
UGAGGAAUAUUGGUCAAUGGGCGAGAGCCUGAACCAGCCAAGUAGCGUGCAGGAUGACGGCCCUAUGGGUUGUAAACUGCUUUUAUAAGGGAAUAAAGUUAGUCUCGUGAGGCUUUUUGCAUGUACCUUAUGAAUAAGGACCGGCUAAUUCCGUGCCAGCAGCCGCGGUAAUACGGAAGGUCCGGGCGUUAUCCGGAUUUAUUGGGUUUAAAGGGAGCGUAGGCCGUCGUUUAAGCGUGUUGUGAAAUGCCGCGGCUCAACCGUGGCACUGCAGCGCGAACUGGAUGACUCGAGUUCGCGGGAGGUAGGCGGAAUUCGUGGUGUAGCGGUGAAAUGCU